AAAAGCGCCUUGUCGUGAAGGAUGAAGAGCCGUAGAGGUUCGAGCAUCGCGCAGCGAUACGACAACGCGCAGCGUUGCCCGCAGGGUGAGGCCAAAGGCCGAAUCAAUCCUGCACGACCCACCA
rnacentral:sRNA from 1 species